rnacentral:rRNA from 1 species
UACGGGGGGGGCAAGCGUUGUUCGGAAUUACUGGGCGUAAAGGGCUCGUAGGCGGCCAACUAAGUCAGACGUGAAAUCCCUCGGCUUAACCGGGGAACUGCGUCUGAUACUGGAUGGCUGGAGUUUGGGAGAGGGAUGCGGAAUUCCAGGUGUAGCGGUGAAAUGCGUAGAUAUCUGGAGGAACACCGGUGGCGAAGGCGGCAUCCUGGACCGACAUUGACGCUGAGGCGCGAAAGCCAGGGGAGCAAACGGG